GGUGAGGUGCCCGAGUGGCCUAAGGGGGCGGACUGUAAAUCCGCUGGCGGAUUGCCUUCGGAGGUUCGAAUCCUCCCCUCACCACCA
rnacentral:tRNA from 2 species